AAUCAAGCUCAGCAGGUAAAAAGUUGUGAAACGCCACGGCAGAUGGAGUGUUGUGCAAAGCUGAAUUACCUACGCAAAGUCUGGAGAGGCAGCCGGUUUUUUACAUGAUUGCCUGGCUGAUUGCCUGAGAUAAUCCCAAAUGAAGUGACCAAAUGCUGCAAACCUGAAAAUAAAAAGAAAAGAAGUGAAACGUA